rnacentral:rRNA from 1 species
UACGUAGGGUGCAAGCGUUGUCCGGAAUUAUUGGGCGUAAAGAGCUCGUAGGCGGUUUGUUGCGUCGGCUGUGAAAUCCCGAGGCUCAACCUCGGGUCUGCAGUCGAUACGAGCAAACUAGAGUGUUGCAGGGGAGACUGGAAUUCCUGGUGUAGCGGUGAAAUGCGCAGAUAUCAGGAGGAACACCAAUGGCGAAGGCAGAUCUCUGGGCCGUAACUGACGCGUGAGGAGCGAAAGCAGGGGGAGCGAACAGG